AAUCUAUGUUCUGUGAAUGACAAGUGUUAUCUGUCAAGUGUCAAAAAACUUGAAAAACUUUUACGAAGUUUUUGAAUUAUGUUAAAUUUGUUUAUAAACACAAUGCCAAAGGCAAGAAUAAUUGCCCACGCCAGAUGGAGACCCAGCUAAAUAAUGUAGUAACAGCGCGUGGUCGUGUGAUGAGGGUUCCUUGACUUGAGUUCUGGCGCAACACGUCCUGGGCACUAAACAAGAUUGGGGAUGGGACGUCUAAAGAGGUGCAAGCCUGGAAAACGCUCUCGUCUUGCUCUACAGCACUUGCACUUGUCCCACCAUCUACCAGUGUUGGAACUCUUCCAAUAAUUUCCCACACCCAGGUGGAGAAUACUCCAGUUACUGCUACUGCUACUCUAAAAUAUCUCUCAUCUUGUUCUACAGCGCCUGCACCUGUCCUACCAUCUACCAGUGUUGGAACUCUUCGAAGUGUAUUAAUGAUUAUUAUUUUAGUAACCAUAAAAGUUUAAAACAAUACAUUUUAUUGCAUAAUUAUUUGUUAGAAAAAACGACAAGUACAAAUGAGUAGGGAGGCUGUUGAUUUUUCAUGGUUAUUUUAUAUCUUGUUGUUCCAAAAAAAAACUAAGUUUUCAAGAAUGCUGUGAUUUAAAGUACCUAUAGUAUUAUAUUUAAAAUAAAAACUUAGUUUGUAAAGAGACGAAGGCUGACCACAAAAGAAGUACUUAUAGCUGUCUGUGUAAAGAAUUUAAAUAAAAAGAUGUGUAUAUUUGAACAGUUUUCUUUAUUUUAUUAGUCAUUUAUUCCUGUAAAUAAGCCCACACAGGGCACUUUUACAUGUCCCAACAUAACUUUACCCUACCACUUUGGCAGUAUUGUGGGUUAAGGCUGAUUAAAACGUGUUAAGUAGGUACCUACCUAACUACUUUAUUGACUUAAUUUUAAGUAAUUAAUUGCGUAGUAGUAUAGUACAAAACUUAGUGUUGAUGAAAAAGAACUCUUGUGUCUCACUAAAACUUAUUUCCAUUAACACCAAGCACUCACCGCUUACCACACUUUAUCUU